rnacentral:rRNA from 1 species
UCCUGGCUCAGGAUGAACGCUAGCUACAGGCUUAACACAUGCAAGUCGAGGGGCAGCAUGAUUCUAGCUUGCUAGAAUUGAUGGCGACCGGCGCACGGGUGCGUAACACGUAUCCAAUCUACCCCAUGGCUCUGGGAUAGCCUUUCGAAAGAAAGAUUAAUACCGGAUAGCCUCACAUCAGGACAUCCUGAAGUGAGUAAAGACUUAUCGGCGAUGGAUGGGGAUGCGUCCGAUUAGGUAGUAGGCGGGGUAACGGCCCACCUAGCCGACGAUCGGUAGGGGUUCUGAGAGGAAGGUCCCCCACACUGGAACUGAGACACGGUCCAGACUCCUACGGGAGGCAGCAGUGAGGAAUAUUGGUCAAUGGGCGAAGGCCUGAACCAGCCAAGUAGCGUGAGGGACGACGGCCCUACGGGUUGUAAACCUCUUUGUUUGGGAAUAAAGUGCGGGACGCGUCCCGCUUUGUAUGUACCAUACGAAUAAGCAUCGGCUAAUUCCGUGCC